CGUGCUUUCACGUCUGCACUUGUGCUGACAGCUCUUGCCGCUCAACGUUUCAAUCGAGUCGAAGUAAACUGAUAACCUGAAUGCCUGUACUUACUUUACCUGUAGCUGCGCUUAAAGUACAAUGCCACUUGUGGAACCUGUAGUUGCCUUGGUUACAAGCUUUAUUUGGUACAAUUCCUAUAGCUGCGCUUAAAGAACUAUGCCCAUCACAUUUGGUAAUGACGAUGCAGAAAACCUGGAGUCAAAAUGGAGUUGGGUCGAUCGUGUGGACGCAGAGAAAAAUAGUGUCAAUUCUCGGUGCAAUUGUGGAAAGGUCCCAUCUGGUCUUUGGCGACUUGGUCUUACAUACACAACGCAGACUGCUCAACAAGAACAACAGCACGUCGGUCACUUGUAUACGCGUGGCGACUUAGUGAGAAUGCAUCGCUUCAGGAAUUGUUCGGCCUCGCAUGGGAGCAUUAAGCAUCCACCUAAUAAGCUUUAGCCCAACUUUAGACUAUCGGCUGUUGUUAAUUAGCCCUAAAUCGGCAGCCGGUUGCCAGAAACUGCGUAGGAAAAUACCUUUGGUUCUUAUAUGAGCAUGCUGUAUAAUUUAUCUAAAGAGAGCAUGCUAUUUAGAGACAUGAUGAUGCGCAGACCUGCUAUUUAAACAACAAACAAAACAAAAAACAACAACAAAGCCUUUAGUCCCAAACAAGUUGGGGUAGGCUAGAGGUGAAACCCAUAAAAUCUCGCAACCAACUCAUGGCUC
rnacentral:lncRNA from 1 species